rnacentral:rRNA from 1 species
CGGGGGGGGUAAGCGUUGUUCGGAAUUACUGGGCGUAAAGGGCUCGUAGGCGGCCAACUAAGUCAUACGUGAAAUCCCUCAGCUUAACUGGGGAACUGCGUGUGAUACUGGAUGGCUUGGAUUUGGGAGAGGGAUGCGGAAUUCCAGGUGUAGCGGUGAAAUGCGUAGAUAUCUGGAGGAACACCGGUGGCGAAGGCGGCAUCCUGGACCAAUAUUGACGCUGAGGAGCGAAAGCCAGGGGAGCAAACGGGAUUAGAUACCCCGGUAGUCCUGGCCCUAAACGAUGAAUGCUUGGUGUAGCGGGUAUCGAUCCCUGCUGUGCCGAAGCUAACGCAUUAAGCAUUCCGCCUGGGGAUACGGUCGCAAGGCUG